rnacentral:rRNA from 1 species
CUAAGGAGACUGCCGGUGGACAAACCGGAGGAAGUGGGGAUGACGUCAAGUCAUCCAUGGCCCUUACGGCCUGGGCUACACACGUGCUACAAUGGUCGGUACAAAGGGUUGCCAAGCCGCGAGGUGGAGCUAAUCCCAUAAAACCGAUCGUAGUCCGGAUCGCAGUCUGCAACUCGACUGCGUGAAGUCGGAAUCGCUAGUAAUCGUGAAUCAGAAUGUCACGGUGAAUACGUUCCCGGGCCUU